UGGGGAAUUUUGGACAAUGGGGGCAACCUGAUCCAGCCAUCCCGCGUGUGCGAUGAAGGCCUUCGGGUUGUAAAGCACUUUUUGGCAGGGAAGAAACAGCCUGGGAUAAUAGCCCGGGCGACUGACGGUACCUGCAGAAUAAGCACCGGCUAACUACGUGCCAGCAGCCGCGGUAAUACGUAGGGUGCAAGCGUUAAUCGGAAUUACUGGGCGUAAAGCGUGCCGCAGGCGGUUCGGAAAGAAAGGUGUGAAUCCCAGGGCUUAACCUUGGAACUGCACUUUUAACUACCGAGCUAGAGUACGUCAGAGGGGGGUAGAAUUCCACGUGUAGCAGUGAAAUGCGUAGAGAUGUGGAGGAAUACCGAUGGCGAAGGCAGCCCCCUGGGAUGAUACUGACGCUCAUGCACGAAAGCCGUGGGGGAGCAAACAGGAUUAGAUACCCUGGUAGUUCCACGCCCUAAAACCGAUG
rnacentral:rRNA from 1 species